CGUCCAUGUCCAUCCAGCCUGGCGUGACUCCAUCCUGGAUCAUAAUGCAGUGUCUGUGUAUGAUUAUGUGCAUGUGUACUUUGUUGAUGGUUAAUGUGCUGGGGGGCCUCUAGUGUGCGUGUGGUUGCGCUCGUUGGAUGCGCGUGCGAUGCGCGUGCUGGUGUGUGUGUGUGCGCGUGCGUGCGUGCUUGUUGGGUGUGUGUGUGCGUGCGCGCUUGUUGGGUGUGUGCGGGGAUGUGUGCGAGUGCGGAGUGUCACCGGGACGGUGACCUUUUAAAGUGGGGGUGUAUGUAACCGGUGGUUAUCCUGAACCUUUAUUCUGACGGGGUAACGACACUCCCCUUUCCUUCAGGUGUGUAGCAUAAAUCAUUGCGGUGGUAGCUAGUUAGCAAAGACGCUGUGUUUUUGAUGCUGUCGAGUGUAGCGUGGGCACACCGCUCUCUCUGUCCCUCUGUUUGUGGUUGAGCCACCGUACAGGAAAGCCCUGUCCAUCGGCGGCUGGCGUGGGGUCGGCUGCUGUUCUGGGAUGGUGUGCUGAGCUGGGCAAACUCAAGGUAAAAGAUGCGUUCUGUACGCUUCUCUCGUGUGUGCGAACGUAGUCUCUGUUGUGACUGAUGUAGUGUUACUCUAUCACAGUGUCGCUGGUGAUGUUCUUCCACUUUGUGUCCUGUGUGGUUGACUGCUUGCAUGCCGCUUCGAGAGAACCAGAGGUAAUGCCGGCAUUUUCUGUAAGAGUUUCGACGCUUAGCACUUGACUUGUGUAGGGAGGGAGUGGGGGUGCUCCGCAGGUGUGAUGGCGGGACUGGCAGCGUGGUGCCUUUGAUAUCGCGCUGUGGUGUCGUGGUUGCACCUGUGGGAGCGCCCACAUUUCCACAAUACACAACUCCUGUUGAAUCGAGUUAUAAAUGCCGUGCCUAAUGGUAACUUUCUCGUUAAAUGUACAUAGGAGGAGAUGGUGCCUUCGACUACACUGAUGCAGUGUCACUAGAGAAGGGGGGCAUCACUGUUCUUUUCCCAACCUUUUUCUUUGUUUUGUUCUAUUGUGUGAGUGAUUCAUCCUGUGCAACCUUUUCACUUUGACGUCCGAGACGAAGGGGCCUGUGUAAGUUUCACUCUAACAUCCGAGACGAAGGGGCUCGUGUAAGUUUCUACUUAGUAACCGCCAAGACGGAGCUUGUGUAUAUGAUUAGGGUAUGAACACUGAAGUAUUACUGGGAGACGUAUCUUAGAUCUCAGACUCCUUUUGGAACCUAUACUUGCUGUAGGGGGAGACCAAAGACGUGUGUCUAACAGGCUUGUGUGUGUGUGUGGUGGCCAUUACCAAUUUUGCCCUUUUGGCAGUUUGUUUUUUUAAUAAUUUGAUUUACUAACUUUGUUUGCCGUGCAAUUUUUGUUAUUUGGUCUACCCCUCGUGCAAAUGCCAAUUUCCAUUAGCACUUUUGCAUAACUAGCACAUUUGCACAUUUUGUAUAUUGAGAUGACGUGCCUAU